CCUACGGGUGGCAGCAGUGGGGAAUAUUGGACAAUGGGGGGAACCCUGAUCCAGCCAUGCCGCGUGUGUGAAGAAGGCCCUCGGGUUGUAAAGCACUUUCAGUGAGGAAGAACGCCUGGUGGUUAAUACCCAUCAGGAAAGACAUCACUCACAGAAGAAGCACCGGCUAACUCCGUGCCAGCAGCCGCGGUAAUACGGAGGGUGCGAGCGUUAAUCGGAAUUACUGGGCGUAAAGCGCGCGUAGGUGGCUUGAUAAGCCGGUUGUGAAAGCCCCGGGCUCAACCUGGGAACGGCAUCCGGAACUGUUAAGCUAGAGUGCAGGAGAGGAAGGUAGAAUUCCCGGUGUAGCGGUGAAAUGCGUAGAGAUCGGGAGGAAUACCAGUGGCGAAGGCGGCCUUCUGGACUGACACUGACACUGAGGUGCGAAAGCGUGGGUAGCAAACAGGAUUAGAUACCCCUGUAGUC
rnacentral:rRNA from 1 species